CACAGAGGUCUCAAGCGUUGUUCGGAUUCAUUGGGCGUAAAGGGUGCGUAGGUGGCGGGGUAAGUCAGGUGUGAAAUCUCGGGGCUCAACCCCGAAACUGCACUUGAUACUGCCUUGCUCGAGUACUGGAGAGGAGAUUGGAAUUUACGGUGUAGCAGUGAAAUGCGUAGAUAUCGUAAGGAAGACCAGUGGCGAAGGCGAAUCUCUGGACAGUUACUGACACUGAGGCACGAAGGCCAGGGGAGCAAACGGG
rnacentral:rRNA from 1 species